GUCAAUUGGGUUACCCGGAGUGAAGGUAGUUGGAAUGAUCAUGGUGCAUCCAUUUUUUGGUGGUACCGAGGAUGACAAGAUGUGGUUAUACAUGUGCCCAAGUAAUAGUGGGUUGGAUGAUCCCAGGCUGAAUCCAGGAUUAGAAGAUCUUGCUAGGCUUGGCUGUGAGAGGGUGUUGAUCUUUGUGGCUGAGAAAGACAGCUUAAUUGCUGUAGGAAGGAACUAUUACGAGAAGUUGAAGAAGAGUGGAUGGAAGGGAAGCGUUGAAAUUGUUGAGAAUGAAG
rnacentral:lncRNA from 1 species